UCGAAACAGUAAAACUCGUCCGCAUUUAGGGUUUUGCAAAUUUCCGACUUCCAAGACGCCAGUCCGAUGGAAAGGUGGUACUUGCCGACGGACCGGUGCGUUUUCCGCCACCCAGCAGAUCUCCGACCGGCGAGAAGCAGCCACAGCGCUAGAAAUGGGUCUUUCAAAUCCUUACAGUAGUUAACGGGCGAUUGAACUUCGUGCAUUGACCAGGCUACUUUGGCAUGGACAGCAGGUCAUGUGUUGGCAACUAGCGGCCUGGAUGGUUCAUGGACUUCUUUCACGAUCAAUAUGGAAAAUUUUUUAUUAGGAGGUAUUGUUCUUUUGCCCAAACAGUUGAACAAUCACUAGGAUUGACGGUUUUUCUUAUAUAUAUUAUGCAUGAUCUUUUUUGUGUUUAAUA